CCUACGGGAGGCAGCAGUAGGGAAUCUUCCACAAUGGGCGCAAGCCUGAUGGAGCAACACCGCGUGAGUGAAGAAGGGUUUCGGCUCGUAAAGCUCUGUUGUUGGAGAAGAACGUGCGUGAGAGUAACUGUUCACGCAGUGACGGUAUCCAACCAGCAAGUCACGGCUAACUACGUGCCAGCAGCCGCGGUAAUACGUAGGUGGAAAGCGUUAUCCGGAUUUAUUGGGCAUAAAGCGAGCGCAGGCGGUUGCUUAGGUCUGAUGUGAAAGCCUUCGGCUUAACCGAAGAAGUGCAUCGGAAACCGGGCAACUUGAGUGCAGAAGAGGACAGUGGAACUCCAUGUGUAGCGGUGGAAUGCGUAGAUAUAUGGAAGAACACCAGUGGCGAAGGCGGCUGUCUGGUCUGCAACUGACGCUGAGGCUCGAAAGCAUGGGUAGCGAACAGGAUUAGAUACCCUUGUAGUC
rnacentral:rRNA from 1 species